UACGUAGGUGGCAAGCGUUGUCCGGAUUCAUUGGGCGUAAAGGGCUAGUAGGCGGCUUAGCAAGUCGGGUGUGAAAACUUCAGGCUCAACCUGGAGCGGCCAUCCGAUACUGCUAUGGCUAGAGUCCGGUAGGGGACCACGGAAUUCCUGGUGUAGCGGUGAAAUGCGCAGAUAUCAGGAGGAACACCGGUGGCGAAGGCGGUGGUCUGGGCCGGAACUGACGCUGAAUAGCGAAAGCGUGGGUAGCGAACAGG
rnacentral:rRNA from 1 species